UUGCAUGUGAAGAAUUACUCUGAUCCCCUUCAUGAUAGUAUGGUGAUGUAACCCCGAGUUUCAGAUGCU
rnacentral:snoRNA from 1 species